rnacentral:rRNA from 1 species
GAUGAACGCUGGCGGCGUGCCUAACACAUGCAAGUCGAACGGAGAUAUGAUUUCGGUUGUAUCUUAGUGGCGAACGGGUGAGUAACGCGUGAGCAACCUGACUCUUAGAGGGGGAUAACACUCGGAAACGGGUGCUAAUACCGCAUAAGACCACGACAUGGCAUAAUGACGAGGUCAAAGGAGCAAUCCGCUGAGAGAGGGGCUCGCGUCCCAUUAGAUAGAUGGCGGGGUAACGGCCCACCAUGUCAACGAUGGGUAGCCGAGCUGAGAGGCUGAUCGGCCACACUGGAACUGAGACACGGUCCAGACUCCUACGGGAGGCAGCAGUGGGGAAUAUUGGGCAAUGGGCGCAAGCCUGACCCAGCAACGCCGCGUGAGGGAAGAAGGCUUUCGGGUUGUAAACCUCUGUCCUUGGUGACGAAAAAAAUGACGGUGGCCAAGGAGGAAGCCCCGGCUAACUACGUGCCAGCCGCCGCGGUAA